GACGAACGCUGGCGGCGUGCUUAACACAUGCAAGUCGAACGGAAAGGCCCUGCUUUUGUGGGGUGCUCGAGUGGCGAACGGGUGAGUAACACGUGAGUAACCUGCCCUUGACUUUGGGAUAACUUCAGGAAACUGGGGCUAAUACCGGAUAGGAGCUCCUGCUGCAUGGUGGGGGUUGGAAAGUUUUGGCGGUUGGGGAUGGACUCGCGGCUUAUCAGCUUGUUGGUGGGGUAGUGGCUUACCAAGGCUUUGACGGGUAGCCGGCCUGAGAGGGUGACCGGCGACAUUGGUACUGAGGUACGGCCCAGACUCCUACGGGAGGCAGCAGGGGGGAAUAUUGCACAAUGGGCGGAAGCCUGAUGCAGCAACGCCGCGUGCGGGAUGACGGCCUUCGGGUUGUAAACCGCUUUCGCCUGUGACGAAGCGUGAGUGACGGUAAUGGGUAAAGAAGCACCGGCUAACUCCGUG
rnacentral:rRNA from 1 species